rnacentral:rRNA from 1 species
UGAGGAACCUGCCCUGUAGACCGGAAUAACCACGGGAAACUGUGGCUAAUGCCGGAUAGGACUGUUCACUGCAUGGUGAGCGGUGGAAAUUGGUUUUUUCCGCUAUGGGAUGGCCUCGCGGCCUAUCAGCUUGUUGGUGGGGUGAUGGCUCACCAAGGCGACGACGGGUAGCUGGCGUGAGAGCGCGACCAGCCACACUGGGACUGAGACACGGCCCAGACCU